AUGAGAGUGGCGCACGGGUGAGUAACGCGUAUGCAACCUACCUGUAACAGAGGGAUAGCCCAUAGAAAUGUGGAUUAAAACCUCAUAGUUCUAUUUGGUCGCAUGAUCAGAUAGAUAAAACUCCGGUGGUUACAGAUGGGCAUGCGUGACAUUAGCUAGUUGGUAAGGUAACGGCUUACCAAGGCUACGAUGUCUAGGGGUUCUGAGAGGAUGAUCCCCCACACUGGUACUGAGACACGGACCAGACUCUUACGGGAGGCAGCAGUGAGGAAUAUUGGUCAAUGGGCGUAAGCCUGAACCAGCCAUCCCGCGUGCAGGAAGACGGCGCUAUGCGUUGUAAACUGCUUUUCCAGGGGGUGAAACUCCCGUACGUGUACGGGAUUGACGGUAGUGUAGGAAUAAGCAUCGGCUAACUCCGUGCCAGCAGCCGCGGUAAUACGGAGGAUGCGAGCGUUAUCCGGAUUUAUUGGGUUUAAAGGGUGCGUAGGCGGAUAAAUAAGUCAGAGGUGAAAACCUUCAGCUUAACUGGAGACUUGCCAUUGAUACUGAUAGUCUUGAGUUUGGUCAAGGCAGGCGGAGUGUGUAAUGUAGCGGUGAAAUGCUUAGAUAUUACACAGAACACCGAUUGCGAAGGCAGCUUGCUGGGCCGACACUGACGCUGAUGCACGAAAGCGUGGGGAUCGAACAGGAUUAGAUACCCUGGUAGUCCACGCCGUAAACGAUGAUCACUCGCUGUUUGCGAUAUACAGCAAGCGGCUGAGCGAAAGCAUUAAGUGAUCCACCUGGGGAGUACGAUCGCAAGGUUGAAACUCAAAGGAAUUGACGGGGGCCCGCACAAGCGGAGGAACAUGUGGUUUAAUUCGAUGAUACGCGAGGAACCUUACCUGGGCUUAAAUGUAGGCUGCAUUCGGCUGAAAGGCUGAUUCCCUUCGGGGCUGCUUACAAGGUGCUGCAUGGUUGUCGUCAGCUCGUGCCGUGAGGUGUCGGGUUAAGUCCCAUAACGAGCGCAACCCUUAUCGUUAGUUGCCAGCGGGUCAAGCCGGGGACUCUAGCGAGACUGCCACCGUAAGGUGUGAGGAAGGUGGGGAUGACGUCAAAUCAGCACGGCCCUUAUGUCCAGGGCUACACACGUGUUACAAUGGCCGAUACAAAGGGCAGCUACCAGGUGACUGGAUGCUAAUCUCCAAAGUCGGUCUCAGUUCGGAUCGAAGUCUGCAACCCGACUUCGUGAAGCUGGAUUCGCUAGUAAUCGCAUAUCAGCCAUGACGCGGUGAAUACGUUCCCGGGCCUUGUACACACCGCCCGUCAAACAAUGGAAG
rnacentral:rRNA from 1 species